UACGGGGGGGGGCAAGCGUUGUUCGGAAUUACUGGGCGUAAAGGGCUCGUAGGCGGCCAACUAAGUCGGAUGUGAAAUCCCCAGGCUCAACUUGGGAACUGCAUCCGAUACUGGAUGGCUUGAAUUCGGGAGAGGGAUGCAGAAUUCCAGGUGUAGCGGUGAAAUGCGUAGAUAUCAGGAGGAACACCGGUGGUGUAGACGGCUCUCUGGACCGUAACUGACGCUGAGGCACGAAAGCGUGGGUAGCAAACAGG
rnacentral:rRNA from 1 species